rnacentral:lncRNA from 1 species
AACAAAAUGAACGGCUGUGAUCAAAAGGCAAGGGGUUAUAAAUAGAACCCCCACACCAGACCACAAACCCUAGCCGCCAGCCGCUCGCCGGAGAAGACGAACCAGAGGCCGACCGCCGCCACCCGCCGCCGCUCGCCGCCGCACCGGGGAAAUUUCCGACCGCCGAUCGAGGUAAAUUUCAUACCCCCGACUCGUUUUUCCCCACUGAUUCCUCCUAUGGCCAAAUCGAAGCCGAAAUCCCGGCCAAACGGCCGGAAUACGCGGCCGAAGCCCAGCGGCGCCGCCGCGCCCCCUCUCGGUUUUUGCCUCCGACGAGGCCCUUCCCGGCCUCCGUUCGAUGCAAUUUUUAUAUCACCGUGAUCACCAUUCUUUUCUCUACAGGUUGACCGGAGCCGAAUCACCAAAACACGAACCUCGCCGGAGAGCCGCUGCACCCGAGAGCGCCGCCACCGGUAAGCUCCGUUUUUCCGUGAUUUUUUGGCCCCCCGAGGGCCCUAGGGUUGUUUCUGACAAGGACCAAUGCGAGUGUGGCCGAAUUCGGCCGAAAACGGCCGAAAACAGUCAACCCGAGGUGACUCGCCGCCGCCAGCGGCGGCGCCGUCGCCGGAGCACGGCGGAGCCGCCUUGCCGGAGUUGCGAUUUGGGCCGAAAGAGGCCCUGGGCCUAAUUUGGAUUUUUUUUGGAACACGUGCAGGUACGGUUAGUGUGUUUCAGUUUCCCGGGAAAAAUUCAGGGAAAAUUAGGGACGGCCUGCAGGCGCACUGUGAAUCGUAUUCGGAUCCCGAAAACAAGUAAGGACCCCUCACCCUAUUUCCUAUCACGGUAUUAAAGUUCAAAAUGAUAAAACGGUAUUUCUUGAAUUAACGCAUGUGUGAAAUUGCUUAAGGUUGCUAAUGGAGCCCGAGUCUAGUGUGAUUGAUGAUUUACUGUUAUUUGGCCUGUUUUACACUGUUUUACAGCUUUAAAUGCAUUAUGGGGUUUGAUGUGUUCAUUUUAUAGUUUCGAAUGCAUAUAUUACUGUUUUAUUAAUUAUGGGUUGAAUGACUGAAGAACUGAUACUGUAUGUUGUCUGUUGGUAUGAAUUACGAUUUGCUUGUUUAAAUGUGAAUUGAUGAUGCUUAUUGAGGAAAAGGAAAAUGAAACAUUGUAUAGACUGAUAAUUGUAUGAUGGGGUCAGCCUGACUAGAUAUCCUGGGAGAUGGUGGACGGACCGGGUCCGUAGGGAACCCUACCGGGAUUGUGGUCUCACAUGCCGGACGGGGUAUGGAGAUCUUAUGGUUUUGGCGCCCAUACCGGACGGGGUAUGGGGACGGCCCGUUUCACCCUCAUACCGGACGGGGUAUUGAGGUUUAUGGUUUUGGCGCCCAUACCGGACGGGGUAUGGGGACGGCCCGUUUCACCCUCAUACCGGACGGGGUAUUGAGGUUCAUGGUUUUGGCGCCCAUACCGGACGGGGUAUGGGGACGGCCCGUUUCACCCUCAUACCGGACGGGGUAUUGAGGUUCAUGGUUUUGGCGCCCAUACCGGACGGGGUAUGGGGACGGCCCUGGAAACUGAUUAUGAAUGUCAAAGGUUAACGGGUAGCGGAACCCCUAUGGACCCCCACGGAUACUAGUAGGCUGGUAAAUGAGAAAAGAGAUAUGUUGUACAAUGAUUGAAUUACAAGAGGCGUGAUAAGUGUUAUGUUUUACAGCUUAUAUUAUUCAAUGAUUAUGAUAAUGUUAUUGUUUUUCUUAUAUAGUUUUCAUAAAUUCCACCAAGGUAAGUGGAUGGUAAAGGUUUUCAUGUUAAUAAAAGAGUUUGUUGUAAAUUAUGCUCCAUUGGUCUUUUUGUGUUUUUCUACCCACCUUUAUCUCCGUGACGGUGAGAUAUCGUGAUGUUCUUACUGGGCUAGUGUAGCUCACUCCUUAAUUAACCAUUUCAGAUCAGGAAGACAUGGUUCCCGAGCCCGUUCCGCAGGAGGACGACAAAGGGGAUGCCUAGAGACUCUGUAGUCAUACGCAUAGUUUUAUUUUCGAGUUUCUUUCUUAGUUAGUUUAAUCUUUUAUAUUUUAAGUACGUUUUUUGGUUUUUCGUGUAAGGGAUGUUAACUAAAAUUUUGAUCUCGCUUCCGCAUUCGAUAUAUUUAAAUACUCAUUUCUUUUUAAUAUUUCCGGGGCCGUUACAG